GUGACGCUACCACCGCCUGCCUGUCUGCUUCGCCCGCCGCGGCUUCCUCCCCUCUGCACGCGGUGCGGUGCCGUUGCCUGUUUUUUUUUAGUACUCCAACUCUAGCUUUUCGGCGUGAAUUAUAGUAGUAGUAGUAUUUUGAAUAGGGGUACGUAUAUAUUCUUCUGCGUAUAUUCUUGUGCGUAGGUAGGAAACGGAGUGCUGAGCACCAGCUGUACGCUGAGCUCGUCAACCAAUUGUCAAUCUUUACGAAUGGAGUAUUUUGCCU
rnacentral:sRNA from 1 species